rnacentral:rRNA from 1 species
AUUGAACGCUGGCGGCAGGCUUAACACAUGCAAGUCGAACGAGUGGCGGACGGGUGAGUAAUGCUUGGGAAUCUAGCUGAUGGAGGGGGAUAACUACGGGAAACUGUAGCUAAUACCGCGUAUCAUAGGAUGAGCCCAAGUGGGAUUAGGUAGUUGGUGAGGUAAAGGCUCACCAAGGCGACGAUGUCUAGCUGGUUUGAGAGGAUGACCGGCCACACUGGGACUGAGACACGGCCCAGACUCCUACGGGAGGCAGCAGUAGGGAAUCUUCCGCAAUGGGGGCAACCUGACGCAGCCAUGCCGCGUGAGUGAAGAAGGCCUUCGGGUUGUAAAGUUCUUUCGGUAGCGAAGCGUUAACUACAGAAGAAGCACCGGCUAACUCCGUGCCAGCAGCCGCGGUAAUUC